rnacentral:rRNA from 1 species
UACGGGGGGGGCAAGCGUUGUUCGGAAUUACUGGGCGUAAAGGGCUCGUAGGCGGCCAACUAAGUCCGACGUGAAAUCCCAAGGCUUAACCUUGGAACUGCGUCGGAUACUGGAUGGCUUGAAUUCGGGAGAGGGAUGCAGAAUUCCAGGUGUAGCGGUGAAAUGCGCAGAUAUCAGGAGGAACACCGGUGGCGAAGGCGGUGGUCUGGGCCGGCACUGACGCUGAGGAGCGAAAGCGUGGGGAGCGAACAGG